UACGAAGGGUGCAAGCGUUACUCGGAAUUACUGGGCGUAAAGCGUGCGUAGGUGGUGAGUUAAGUCUGUCGUGAAAGCCCCGGGCUCAACCUGGGAAUGGCGAUGGAUACUGGCUCGCUAGAGUGCGGUAGAGGAGAGUGGAAUUCCCGGUGUAGCAGUGAAAUGCGUAGAGAUCGGGAGGAACAUCAGUUGCGAAGGCGACUCUCUGGACCAGCACUGACACUGAGGCACGGAAAGCGUGGGGAGCAAACAGG
rnacentral:rRNA from 1 species